rnacentral:lncRNA from 1 species
AUCAAAUUUCCACUUUUAUUUCCACAAUUUUACCCUACAUGUAGUUUCGGAAAUUGAAUGUCUGUUAGAUAAAUUAAUAGCAUUUGGAAAAUCAUCCUAAUCUGAAAUUCCAGUCCACCCCUUCGAGUUUGGUCGCCCUCCGAAUACGGGGCACACCACUGGAAAGCGGUUGCAAUUCCUGUUUCCCUUUAGAAAACGAAGACACAUUCACCUGCAAACCACGGACGUGUAUAAUAAAAUUUUAUAUUAAAAUUUUUAAAUACGUCCGUGCUGCAAACGCUGAAAGUUUCCUAAUUCGGUAACACUUUCCGAAUUGGGAAACGUUCCCCCAUUCGCGCAUUUCCCGGACUGCUAUUGCAGAUGAAUAGCGCCCUCCAGUAUGGAAUUUUUGGCCUGAUGAAGUUGCAAAACACGGAAGACACUGCAUUUCGAGGACGUCCUUACUCCAUGUACUUAUUCAUGACCGGUACCGGUUGCUUGGAAUCUGUCGCCAUGGACAGUACGUCAUUACAUUGAUUUUCCACUCUACCAUUGUCUACCUCCUCAAGAUCAAGGCACAGAAUUAAUGGACACGGCCUGCAUCAUGUUUAUGCCUUCAACUUUAAUUUCAUGUGUAACCCCCAAACAGUGCACAUUAAAUUCAAGUACCUCCCAACAAAAACGGACACAUGACUCUUUCACAGGUACAGUACCUGAGCCCACCUGUGCACAGGAAUUCACUGAGUUAUCCUAUACAUCCUCUGCAGUCACCUGCAACACCAACCUGUCUUUGCAAGACCAUAAUUAUGCGUCAGGUCAAGGUCAUAGUGAUAACCAUGUUGUAACUGCAACUUCCCACGACCAUAAGUACAGUCGUAGAUCAGUUACACCACCUGCAUCGCUCCCAGAAGGCCUUCCUGAUUGCAAACAAUGCAGCACAUUGCUGGAAAUGGAACCGUGUGUGACCUAUGGCCGUGCCCUCCAUUUGGCAGAACAUAUGUACAGUCGAAGACCUGUACCACCACCUGCCUGUCUCCCAGUUCCUGACAGUGAAUCACGAAGCACACUAGUGGAAUCUGGUGUGACGCAUGGUAGUAUCUUACAUUUGGCAGAACAUAUGUAUAGUCGACGACCUGUACCACCAAGUGCCUGUCUGCCAGACCAUGACAGUGAAGCACAAGGCACACCACUGAAAUCUGGCAUUACACAUGGCAAUAUCUUACAUUUAGCAGAACAUAAUUAUUCAAAGAGAAACAACCCUGCUGCCUUACUUCCCAACGUGAAAACAAGUACAGUCCUUUCUUGACCUCUGCCAAUUACAUGUACAUAUCCAGAAGAAUCAUAGUAACCACAACUUACCAUAUCAACACCAGCCAUUAAAUACCUCCUCAAUGACCACGACUACACCAGGAGGGUCAACUAAUCCCAACCAUUAACUCAGGCAUAUCUGCCAUGCAAACCAAUCGCUUUGCAAGGCAAGAAAUGAAUUUUUGUCAGGAAAUUUAUGUCAUAGCCUUCAUUUGAUACAAUAAACGUCAACACACCAAAAGCAGCACUUCACAAUGGAGAAAGAGUAGCUAGUCACCGUGGAAAUGAAGCUGAUUCUCAGCUGUUGCACACAAAGGAAAACCAAAGACAACUAGGAGGACAGGACCUCAGGCUGAAUAAAUCUGCUUUUCCCUCAACUUCUCACCAGCCCCUGCAAGUGUCCUGAGUCACUUUUUAUUCUGCCUUGACCCGUGUUCGUUCACCUACAUGUAAUUGAGCAAGUCUCCAAAAAUGUAAUCGGUCAUGGUACGGAUUGAAAGAUGUCCUCUCAUGAACAAACCAGCCCAACCACAGUCCACAGAUAUUCCAGUAAAUGGUAUUACUCCAUCUCCAAUGCAAGGUCCAAACACCUGUCGAACAGAUGUGACAGCCGCCACAAAUACAGACAAUUACGCUCUGCCACUUUUUAUCAAACACCGAGUUAUUUUAAAUAACUCAGUGGUUAUAGUUAUAAUUCUGACAGAAUGGAAUAAUGUGUAUCAAUCACAUGGUAAUAACUACAACAAGUAAACUACCAACUGCUUUAAACAUAUUUAAAUGAACUUUAUUCUCGCUUGAUUGAGGCAAUGGGGGUAUGGAAACCGGGCAAAAAACUCGCAAACACAUAUGUAUUUUAAACUACACUUUGUUGUUCAGCUGUACAGAAAAAAUAAAAGAUUUUGCUCAGGGCAAGCAUUCACAUUAAACUCUCUGUAUACAUUUACGUGACCAACAUUUCACUGCAAUAGCUUUUUGAACAGGUUUUGAACAGUUGUUAAAAGCAGAGGAACAAACACAAGGUAAACAGUGUGCUUCCUAUUCCACAAGGAACGGGCACACGGUACCAGUAAUUUCUAUGAACAGAUAAACUGUAACAAAAUGCCUUGACAGCUUGCUGAAGUUUUAUACUGCACUUUGGUAGUAAUCUCAGGCAGAUCUAAUUUUUACAAGGUUAGAUAUGAAGCUAACAUUUCCUUUGGAAGUGCCAGUGAGAUUUUUAAAAAUCUCAGAAUCUAUGUACAUGUACAACUUCCUUGUCGAUAAUUUUAACCACUUUCAUACAAAAAGGAGGAAAAAGUACUAUUCCCACAGAUACGUGUAAUAGUGUACAUUGUAUCAGCAGUAAGAUAUUGUCAUGCUUCGAUUUCACAUUUUACCUCGAGUACAAGUGACCGUACAUUUUGUAAGGGAUGUCAAUCUUUUGAUGGAGUUAAUGUCAGAAAAAAAAACUGCCAAUAUCCAUGCCUCUAAAAAGUAUGAAGCCGCAAGGCCACUCUUCUGGAAUUAUUUUCAAAGCUCUUUUCCUGGCUUUAAGUAAUACUUAGUAUAAGUCGUAAUAAUUAAUGUUGAUGAUUUGGCCAAGGACACUGUAAUGCUCAAUCCCGGAUGAGGUACCACAAAGUCUGCAAAUUCAUCAAUACCAUUCCCAUACAUAUAAUAUAUGUAUAUGGUUUGAAAUGACCACUUUCGUAAUGAAGGUUAGGUUGAAAAUUGCCUUAGAGAGGACAGAAGUUCUGGAGACUACAGCACGGUGCAUAUGCAUCUUUUCGAAGAGAUUGUCAAGUGAUUGAUGCAAAGCAUGUAAAGAAUGAGAAUAAAAUAAAAUAAUAAUGAAAAGUCUGACCGGUCCGUAUGAAUGAAAGACGAAAUAAAAUGUCUGAUCAAAGGAC